GUGCUCACUUUGGCAGCACAUAUACUGAAACUGGAACAAUACAGAGAUUAGCACGGCCCUGUGCAAGGAUGAUACGCACAUUCAAGAAGCAUUUCAUAUUUGU
ensembl:snRNA U6 U6 spliceosomal RNA